UACGAAGGGGGCUAGCGUUGUUCGGAAUUACUGGGCGUAAAGCGCGCGUAGGCGGUUUUGCAAGCCAGAGGUGAAAUGCCUGAGCUCAACUUAGGAAUUGCCUUUGGGACUGCGAGGCUUUGAGGACUGGAGAGGUGAGUGGAAUUCCCAGUAUAGAGGUGAAAUUCGUAGAUAUUGGGAAGAACACCGGUGGCGAAGGCGGCUCACUGGCCAGUUUCUGACGCUGCAGCGCGAAAGCGUGGGGAUCAAACAGG
rnacentral:rRNA from 1 species